rnacentral:rRNA from 1 species
CAAGUCGAACGAAGUAGCAAUACUUAGUGGCAGACGGGUGAGUAACAUGUAGGUAUCUGCCCUUUGGCCUGGAAUAACACGAGGAAACUUGUGCUAAUACCGGAUAAGUCUUUACGGAGAAAGCUUUAUGCACCAUUGGAUGAGCCUGCACUUGAUUAGUUUGUUGGUAGGGUAAUGGCCUACCAAGACUGUGAUCAAUAGCUGAUUUGAGAGGAUGAUCAGCCACAUUGGGACUGAGACACGGCCCAAACUCCUACGGGAGGCAGCAGUGGGGAAUCUUGCACAAUGGAGGAAACUCUGAUGCAGCGAUGCCGCGUGAGUGAAGAAGGCCUUUGGGUUGUAAAGCUCUUUCGUCGGGGAAGAAAAUGACUGUACCCGAAUAAGAAGGUCCGGCUAACUUCGUGCCAGCAGCCGCGGUAAUACGAAGGGACCUAGCGUAGUUCGGAAUUACUGGGCUUAAAGAGUUCGUAGGUGGUUGAAAAAGUUGGUGGUGAAAUCCCAGAGCUUAACUCUGGAACUGCCAUCAAAACUUUUCAGCUAGAGUAUGAUAGAGGAAAGCAGAAUUUCUAGUGUAGAGGUGAAAUUCGUAGAUAUUAGAAAGAAUACCAAUUGCGAAGGCAGCUUUCUGGAUCAUUACUGACACUGAGGAACGAAAGCAUGGGUAGCGAAGAGGAUUAGAUACCCUCGUAGUCCAUGCCGUAAACGAUGUGUGUUAGACGUUGGAAAUUUAUUUUCAGUGUCGCAGCGAAAGCGAUAAACACACCGCCUGGGGAGUACGACCGCAAGGUUAAAACUCAAAUGAAUUGACGGGGACCCGCACAAGUAGUGGAGCAUGUGGUUUAAUUCGAAGAUACGCGCAGAACCUUACCAACACUUGACAUGUUCGUCGCGACUUUAAGAGAUUAAAGUUUUCGGUUCGGCCGGACGAAACACAGGUGCUGCAUGGCUGUCGUCAGCUCGUGUCGUGAGAUGUUGGGUUAAGUCCCGCAACGAGCGCAACCCUCACUUUUAGUUGCCAUCAUUUAGUUGGGCACUCUGAAAGAACUGCCAGUGAUAAGCUGGAGGAAGGUGGGGAUGACGUCAAGUCCUCAUGGCCCUUACGUGUUGGGCUACACACGUGCUACAAUGGUAUCUACAACAGGAAGCAAAACCGCGAGGUUAAGCAAAUCCUAAAAAGAUAC